CUGGUCUCCUACAGCGCCCUCAGGCUUGCUAGGAUUAGGAAAUUCCAGCCUGGCGAAUUCUAGUCAGUCUGGUUGUCUGCUCUCAAACCUUAUUUCCUUUUAAGAUGCUUAUCAAUGACAAUGUGUGCCCAGUGGGACAUGGAACCUCAUUAGUAAUUCUAAUUUUGCCCUGGCCUUGUGAUCUUGCUCUGCCAUAUGCCUUGUGAUAUUUUAUUGCCUUUUGAAGCAUGUGAUCUCUGUGAUCCACUUCCUGUUUGUACACUCCCUCCCCUUUUGAAAUCCCUAAUAAAAACUUGCUGGUUUUGCAGCUCAGGUGGGCAUGACAGAACCUGCCAACAUGUGAUGUCACCCCUGGAGGCCCAGCUGUAAAAUUUAUCUCUUUGUAUUCUUUCUCUUUAUUUCUCAGACCAGCUGACACUUAAGGAAAAUAAGAAAGAACCUACUUUGAAAUACUGGGGGCUGGUUCCCCCAGUACAAAGUAAAGAAGCUUUUGACUUGAAGUUGUUUUUUUCUGAUAUGAAUAUAGCUACUCCUUCUUGCUUUUGAUCUUCAUACAUGUGGAAUAUAUUUUUCCAUCCCUUCACUUUCAGUCUACGUGUGUCAUUGCAGGUGAGAUGAUUUUCUUGUAGGCAGAAUAUAGUUUUUUCUUAUUUUUUAAAUCAAUUUUGC
rnacentral:lncRNA from 10 species